AAAGAACAUUUGGGGUGCUGAGGCUGAGAUUAUACCCAUUGAACCUGAUGCAGUUAAUGCUGCCGCAGGGAAAUGUAUAAGAAAGACC
rfam:Streptococcus intermedius B196, complete genome.